GCUCAGAAGGACACCACUAAUAUGCUUCUGGUACACCAGGCUUACAGAAGUUCUGGGGUUUUGUCCUCCUAGGCAGACCUCAAGCAGAAAUUUGCUUUCAACUUAUACUUGUCCAAAAUGGAUAAUACACUCAGUUUCUUAAACAAGUUGUCCCAUAUUAGAGACACACUAACUUGAGAGAGAGG